ensembl:rRNA 5S_rRNA 5S ribosomal RNA
GCUUACAGCCACACCUCCCUGAGCACGCCCGAUCUCGUCUGAUCUCGGAAGCUUAGCAGGGUUGGGCCCGGUUAGUACUUGGAUGGGAGACCGCCUGGGAAUACCAGGUGCUGUAAGCC